rnacentral:tRNA from 1 species
GCGGAUGUGGCGGAACUGGCAGACGCACUAGACUUAGGAUCUAGCGGGAAACCGUGCAGGUUCGAUUCCUGUCAUCCGCA